UGAAUUGUUUGUACAAUCGUA
rnacentral:piRNA from 1 species